rnacentral:rRNA from 1 species
AGCGAACGCUGGCGGCAGGCUUAACACAUGCGAGUCGAACGGGCAUCUUCGGAUGUCAGUGGCAGACGGGUGAGUAACACGUGGGAACGUACCCUUCGGUUCGGAAUAACUCAGGGAAACUUGAGCUAAUACCGGAUACGCCCUUUUGGGGAAAGGUUUACUGCCGAAGGAUCGGCCCGCGUCUGAUUAGCUUGUUGGUGGGGUAACGGCCUACCAAGGCGACGAUCAGUAGCUGGUCUGAGAGGAUGAUCAGCCACACUGGGGCUGAGACACGGCCCAGACUCCUACGGGAGGCAGCAGUGGGGAAUAUUGGACAAUGGGCGCAAGCCUGAUCCAGCCAUGCCGCGUGAGUGAUGAAGGCCUUAGGGUUGUAAAGCUCUUUUGUCCGGGACGAUAAUGACGGUACCGGAAGAAUAAGCCCCGGCUAACUUCGUG